GGAAUAAAGAAAAAUGAAAUCUACAUUAAAAUUGGUGGAGACCAUUGGGGUGGUUCAUUUAAAAUGAGUCAUCAAAUAGUUAACCAAGACCAACCCAUCUCGAAAUCUAACUCUAUUGUGUUUAGCAUAUUUGAAGCCAAAGACUAUUGAACUGAUCUUAUAGUAGGGCUAUCUCGUUAUACACUGCAAGUUGAUAAGAUACAAAACAUGAAGUGGCAGUAAAUUACAAUGUCCAAGCUAGUGGUCAACAUUGCUGUCUUUUUUGUGACAUCACCAAAAAAAUUAUCCAACUGGCUCGAAUAUGUAGAGAACAUGUUUCACAAAGAUCUCUAAACUCCUUAAACAAUGACUUUCAUCGUUUUUAAAGUAAUGGAGUAAAUUUGAAAAAUGCAAACUUUUUAAUAAUGUGAUUAAUGAAACGCUAUUUAAUAUCCUCUAGACCAGGUUGGUGUAACUGCUUUACAUAUAUCUUUGGGUACCUAUUUAAAAUUUUUUAACAUGUUUGAAGACGAAUGCCAUUUAAUAGAUAUAAAAUUCGAACAAGAACUUGCUUUAAAAGAUAAUAUUUGAUUAGUAAAACUGAUUUUGACAGAUAUGUUAACAUGCAUAUCCAAUCCAACCUUGUUAAAAGUGUUAUUGAAGACUGUGACAAUAAAGUUGCACUUCUACAAGAUAAAAUAUCUGUAAAAGUUUUAUGUGAGCCAGAAAAUACGGAAGAAAUAAGGAACUUAUAUACACCAAGAAUAAUAUU